GACGUAGGGUGCGAGCGUUGUCCGGAUUUAUUGGGCGUAAAGAGCUCGUAGGCGGCUCGUCGCGUCGACCGUGAAAACCCGCGGCUUAACUGCGGGCUUGCGGUUGAUACGGGCGGGCUAGAGUUCGGUAGGGGAGACUGGAAUUCCUGGUGUAGCGGUGAAAUGCGCAGAUAUCAGGAGGAACACCCGUGGCGAAAGCGGCUCUCUGGGACGGUACUGACGCUGAGACGCGAAAGCGUGGGGAGCGAACAGG
rnacentral:rRNA from 1 species